CCUCGGGGGGGCUGCAGUGGGGAAUAUUGGACAAUGGGCGAAAGCCUGAUCCAGCCAUGCCGCGUGUGUGAAGAAGGCCUUCGGGUUGUAAAGCACUUUCAGUGGGGAAGAAAGCCUUGGGGCUAAUACCCUCGAGGAAGGACAUCACCCACAGAAGAAGCACCGGCUAACUCCGUGCCAGCAGCCGCGGUAAUACGGAGGGUGCGAGCGUUAAUCGGAAUUACUGGGCGUAAAGCGCGCGUAGGCGGUCUGAUAAGCCGGUUGUGAAAGCCCCGGGCUCAACCUGGGAACGGCAUCCGGAACUGUCAGGCUAGAGUGCAGGAGAGGAAGGUAGAAUUCCAGGUGUAGCGGUGAAAUGCGUAGAGAUCGGGAGGAAUACCAGUGGCGAAGGCGGCCUUCUGGACUGACACUGACGCUGAGGUGCGAAAGCGUGGGUAGCAAACAGGAUUAGAUACCCGUGUAGUC
rnacentral:rRNA from 1 species